AUUGCACGCUGGUGUCAGGCUUAUCACCAGCAAGUCGAGCGAGCGGCUGUCGGGUUAGUAAUGUCUGGGACACUGCCUGAUGGAGGGUGAUAACUACUGGAAACGGUAUCUCCUACCGCCUACUCUCCGAUGUGCCCAGAUGGGAUUAGCUAGUAGAUGGGGUAACGGCGCACCUAGGCGACGAUCCCUAGCUGGUCUGAGGGGAUGACGAGGCACGCGUGAACUGAGACACGGACCCAAAUCGUACGAGAGUGAGCAGUGGGGAAUAUGGCACAGUGGGCGAAAGCCUGAGACAGCCAUGCCGCGUGUGGGAGGAGGGAAUACAGGUUGUAAAGCACUUACAGCGAGGAGGCGUAACUCGCAGAAGAAGCACCGGCUAACUCCGUGCCAGCAGCCGCGGUAAUUC
rnacentral:rRNA from 1 species